CAGGGAAACAGCAAACAGUAUGGCAACCGGUGACUUCAACGCAGUCACGGAAUGCGGAGGGGGGAGCUUUUAACGUUGAUAUUGAUAAACAAACACUUUUCUUUAAAGUCAAGCUAAAGUGGAUUCUUCCCGAGCGUCUCCAAACUGCAGUCACUGUUUUCCACUUCCAACGAGGCGCACAAUUUGGAUUUGUGGUUGACAACCACAGACUGGCGGAGACAAGGAUUGUGGACGGGUAUAUACAGCAUAUGGGUGAUGCUGUUAACGGCACCCCAACAUUCCACACUCACCUCAGAAGGCAAUUGUAUGGUGACCCUUGGGAUAACACAAGAGUUUCAUAAAGUGCCAAAAAGCCACCCAGAGAGGGCAACUAAAUCCAUCACUUCUGGUUAAACACCUGGCUGCCCCGAAAGGAGGUGUCAUUACUGACUCGAGUGACCUGCCAGAUGGAACUGCACUAGCUAUACAACCUUGGCUAUCCAACCCAACAACCUUUCUUUUGUUGCAUUAAUUAUCUUGUAUAAUGGGAAAUACACCAAAGAGCAUUUUCUUUUGUUUUUGUUUUGUUUGGUCUUCAAAUAAUAAAUGAAAUGACCCGCUUGGCACCCCAAAUUUUUAUAAGUAGUGGAGCUGUCGUUCCUACAGCCAGCUAUAUGAUCGAAAGGAUAAUAAGAUAAACAACAUCUUGAUAAAAGGGAAACUGUAUUAGAACAAAAGUUAAACUACAAACUUGCACCAGAAGAAAAUAAAGAAACAAAGAUGUUCAGCAUAAAGUGAACUUCUGUGAAGCCUAAGGCAGUGCAUCCUGCUGUUUGGAAGACUAAAUGGCUUGUUUGGUCUUAACAUCUGACAAUUUACACAUCACUAGUGUCUAAAAUAUAUAACAAAAUAUGAUAGAGUUAACCAGAGUCAGAUAGUUGUAUUGAUUCUUAUUGUUCUUAAGUCAGGAUCUAAAAAUAAAACAAAAUAUCCACCCUUCACAAAUUCUGUCUGUCCUAGGCAAUUGCCUGGUUUGCCUAAAUGAUAGAGCUGGCCCUGUCUCCUUAGU